rnacentral:rRNA from 1 species
AUUGAACGCUGGCGGCAGGCCUAACACAUGCAAGUCGAGCGGAUGAAGGGAGCUUGCUCCUGGAUUCAGCGGCGGACGGGUGAGUAAUGCCUAGGAAUCUGCCUGGUAGUGGGGGAUAACGUCCGGAAACGGGCGCUAAUACCGCAUACGUCCUGAGGGAGAAAGUGGGGGAUCUUCGGACCUCACGCUAUCAGAUGAGCCUAGGUCGGAUUAGCUAGUUGGUGGGGUAAAGGCCUACCAAGGCGUCGAUCCGUAACUGGUCUGAGAGGAUGAUCAGUCACACUGGAACAGAGACACGGUCCAGACUCCUACGGGAGGCAGCAGUGGGGAAUAUUGGACAAUGGGCGAAAGCCUGAUCCAGCCAUGCCGCGUGUGUGAAGAAGGUCUUCGGAUUGUAAAGCACUUUAAGUUGGGAGGAAGGGCAGUAAGUUAAUACCUUGCUGUUUUGACGUUACCAACAGAAUAAGCACCGGCUAACUUCGUG